UUGGCCUCCUUGCGGCAUAUGGAGCGCGCAGGACCAUAAGGUCCUGCGCGCUUUUUUUAUCUCA
rnacentral:sRNA from 1 species